rnacentral:rRNA from 1 species
CAAAAGGCAUACCUGUUUGAGAGUCAUUUCAUUCUCAAAACCUAGUUUUGGUGUUGGUCCUCAUCUUUCGCAAGAAAGUGGACUGAAAUGAAAUGGCAAAGCCUCGAUUAUUUGUCAAAAGUGUCUUAGGUUUUACCAACUACACUUGCGUAACGAAUUUUCGAAUUCAAGCUUGGCCUUAAAACAGCCUUUUAAGUUUGACCUCAAAUCAGGCAAGACUACCCGCUGAACUUAAGCAUAUCAAUAAGCGGAGGAAAAGAAACCAACAGGGAUUGCCUUAGUAACGGCGAGCGAAGCGGCAAUAGCUCAAAUUUGAAAUCUGGCGUCUUUGGCGUCCGAGUUGUAAUUUCAAGAAGUGUCUUCUGGUUUGGCCCUUGCAUAUGUUCCUUGGAACAGGACGUCAUAGAGGGUGAGAAUCCCGUAUAUGGUGAGGUGUCCAUUUCCUUUGUAAGACGCUCUCUAAGAGUCGAGUUGUUUGGGAAUGCAGCUCUAAGUGGGUGGUAAAUUCCAUCUAAAGCUAAAUAUUGGCGAGAGACCGAUAGCGAACAAGUACUGUGAAGGAAAGAUGAAAAGAACUUUGAAAAGAGAGUGAAAAAGUACGUGAAAUUGCUGAAAGGGAAGGGCUUGAGAUCAGACUUGGUAUUCAGUGAUCAGCUGUCUUUCGGGACUGUGCACUCGCUGUUUACUGGGCCAACAUCAGUUUGGAUGGCGAGAUAAUGACAAUUGAAUGUGGCUCUCUCUUCGGAGGGAGUGUUAUAGCUUUUGUUGAUAUCGCCUAUCCGGACUGAGGACCGCGCUUCGGCUAGGAUGUUGGCGUAAUGAUCUUAAGCCACCCGUCUUGAAACACGGACCAAGGAGUCUAACGUCUAUGCGAGUGUUUGGGUGUAAAACCCGUACGCGUAAUGAAAGUGAACGUAGAGGAGGACCC